AGUGGUAACCGUCUGAGACCUGCAUCACUUUGGGCUUUCCUCCCACAUUAAGCUGACACGCCGUGAUAUAACUGGAAUACUGUUAGAAGUGGCGUUCAGCCCAACUCACUCACUUACUUAAUUAUUGUGCUGGGAACAUUCUUUAUGAUAACUCUCUGUCACAUCAUGAGCUAUAAAGUCGUGGUAGGCCCCAGUAUUUAUGAUUCCUCAUAACAAAAAUGGGAUAUUUUAUUUUGAUUUUGUGUAACAGAAAAUAUCAUAUGCAGAUUCAAGUACCAUAUACCUUGAAAUCUUUUUUAUUGGAAUAUGCAUUGAAUGCAUGUACAUUUGGAUAAGCCCCCAAGUGUAUAACUGUGUGAUACAUGCUGCAUGUCCACGAUACUGGGCAAUAACUGACUACAAGGCAGGGAGACUUACUCUUUUGGCGCCAAAUCGGCCAAAAAAGUGUAAUCGAUAUGCAAUCCUUUACACUGUAAGUGCAAAGUCUUAUUCGAAGCAGCUGUUGAAUAUGUUCUUCAUGUUUUUGUUUGUUUAUACAAUUAAGUUAAAAUAAGACUCCUUCAGCACAAGAUGAAACACAGACCUUGUUAUUUUAAAUGCAAACUAUUAUCCAAAUGGCAGCUAAUUUUAGCAUGCACUAAUUGCUUUUUUAUCCAAUGUUGCAGCAUUUUAUUUCACUAUGAUAUGAAUGUGGCACAUUAUACAGUGAUAGUCCUGUGAUAAAAUAUCCUUCAAGCUUUAUCUGAACUAGGGCAGGUUUAACAAUCAUGCUGUGAUGUCGUUAAUGGAGAAAAAACAAAAUAUCCAUAUGUAGAUUGGACAGUGAAUUUUUUCAAUUCAGACAGAAUUGUCACUGAUGAGGUAUAUGUUUACAGAGCAUUGAUGGGGAUAAGUCGGAAUUAGGAAAAGGGUCAGUUUGAUUUGACUAAGAGGGGAUAAGAGGACAUUAUGGAAAAGCAUCGGUUUGCGUGUGUUGGAAUAGAAAUGUAACUGCCAAACAUGUUUGACUAUUAUAGUCUGAUUCAGUAUUCGGCAUGUGUAUGAUAAGAAGUGAUAUUCUCAUACCAGGUACUUUGGUGUGACCUUGAAAUUUGAACUACAUAUUCAAAUUUCAUUUGUAUGCUUUGUUAUGUGUAAUUGAUUUAUGUUUUAAUUUUAAGCUCUUAUGAAAUGAUUUGAAGUUUUAACUCGACACUUUUCUAACAACAGGUAACUGGUGCUUCUUAUGAUCAGAGUGGCACCGGUGGCACAGGUGCCACAGUUGUCUAAGGUGCCACAAUUCGCUGUGUAGAGUUGCCUCCCUUGGGCAUGCCAGAAACCUAUGAUUGUGGGUUCGAAUCCCGGUUUACCCUGAUUAUGUUUCUAGGUUUGUCAGCACCAUACCUGUGCUCCUGGGGGUCACCGAAGUGGUAUACAUCUGAGACCUGCAUCACUUCGGGCUUUCCUCCCACAUCAAGCUGACACGCCGUGAUAUAACUGGAAUACUGUUAAAGGGGCGUUAAACCCAACUCACUCACUGUUUAUGAUCAGGAAUACAAUGUUCUUGUAAAAGAGGUUUGCUCAGCUGUAGACAGCACAGAGAGUCUCACUGAUGUAGCAAGGCAGUACUGGGUUCAGGGGAAGUUAAUGCCUGUAUUAUGCCCUUAUGUUCAAUAAGCAGUUAUUCACGUUUGUGGACUGCUUCAAUUAAAAAAUGAAAUUUAAAAAAAACUGAGUGUGAAAUAAAUUAUAAAACAGUAUGUGUCAGUAAAAUGUGUGUAUUGUGUAUCUCAUCCCUUGGUAUAAUAUCCGGGUGCAUGCUGGUACAUUCUUGUUGGGCCUCACCCGGCGUUUGACAGUUUGCAAAACAUUUUUCUGGAUCAAGGACAUGUAAAAUUAUCCUAUUUUAAACUUUAAUGAAAUGAUUUGAAGUUUUAGCAGUACACUUUUCUAAGGUGCUGUUUAUGUUUAUAAUCAGGAAACAAUGUUCUUGAGAAAUAGGUAUUCUGGCAUGGAGAGACUGUAAACUUAAAGGCUGCUUAUGUAGGUGUUAAAAGUUAAAAAGACAGACUCUCUGUGCUGUAUCCAUCAUGUCAUCGUCAUAUGUGCCACUUUAUCACCACUGUUGCAACCUCACAGACCUCGGUCAAUAUAUAGGGGCGGUUGGGUAGCCUAGUGGUUAAAGCAUUCGCUCGUCACGCCGAAGACCUGGGUUUAAAUCCCAACAAGCGGCAUAAAAACUCACUCACUCACUCACUAUCGAUACAUAAACAAACUGAACUGAUAAAAAUAUUUUAUGUUUUAAACUUUUUAUCUAGUCUUUUUCAUAAUGCUUUUCAAUCUUUGUAAUUUUUAUGUUGUUACUUAGUUUUAGACUUGACAUGACUUGACAUGUACUAUUGUAUUUAAUUAAUGUGGCCCCGGAAUGUUUGCUUGGCAUUUACACUGUGAAAUGUAUUAUAUAUUUAUGACCGCAGGAGUGUUUGAUAGAACGUACUUGUACUGUUAUACAUGUUAUAUUUGAAGUGUAUAAAUAAUAGACUGUGAUAUGUACUUUCAUCCUGAUCUGUGCCGCCUUCAGUCCUCUGUGAUGGUGUGAGACUGCUUCACUCACACAUGUAAUUCAGUAUUCUCAACAUUAAACAGGGGCGGUCGGGUAGCCUAGUGGUUAAAGCGUUCGCUCGUCACGCUCGAUUCCCGACAUGGGUACAAUGUGUGAAGCCCAUUUCUGGUGUCCCCCGCCGUGAUAUUGCUGGAAUAUUGCUAAAAGCGGCGUAAAACCAUACUCACUCACACACUCACUCAACAUUAAACAGUUGGUGUCCUUUUGACCAGGAAACUCACCUGGGACUGUUGUACCGAUGUUACGGAUUGUUGGAGUAGAGCAUUCUGUAGGUCAGAAUUAUUGAUGAAUUUAAUUAAUGUCAGCAUACAACACUAAAUAUUUUAUAAGAUACAUAGAAAAACAAAAUUGAGUGACAAAUUCAUAGAGUGCUCAAGAAUCAUGAUAUUUCAGUUUUUUUAUUUACGUAUAUAUAAUUAACAUGCUGUUGAUAUUGUUUAUUUGUAGAUCAUGAAAUGUGCAAAUCGGGCACCUACCUAGGGUAGUGUACAAACAUUGUAACUCUAUCCAGUGGGACUAUGGGGGUGUGGGUACCUCCUCAAACAUGGGUGGAUUGGCUGGUUAUUCUAGAACAUGAAUUAGGGUUCAGCAAGCUAGGCUUUCUAAGAUGUAGGUAUAUAUUUAGUAGUAUACUAUGGGGAUUUAUCAAGGAACCAAACUAUGUUUCUUUGAAAAACGUACUGGCAAAUAAAAUCAUUAUUUUAUUCAAAUUUCUGAUUUUCUUAAUAAUAUGCAAUGAUAUGAAACUGGAUGAAAGCCUCUCACUCUAUGGUCAUGUUAUCGGUGAAAUACAAGUCACAAACGGCAGUUUGUUAUUCCUGGAAUUUGUAUUGAGACCAAACAUUGUUUCAGCUACAGCUGCGAAAACAGAUAUUUUUUUUUCUUAAAACUAUGAGCCCAAAUAUAUUUUUCUAAAAGGCACAUUACAACAAAGAAUGUUUUGUGGCAGGCAAUUUUUUUUGUCCAACAAUAUGAAGCAUGAUUAUUUUUUGUAAGAAUAUUUGGAGGCAAUCUACCUUUUUUGACCCCCUGCAGCCCCUAACAUGCAAUAUAUACACAUUGUUACAAAAUAUUCCCUACAUGUGUAUCUGUUACUCAACAUCUUAUGCAUCUGAAGUUUAAUUGGGUUUGUAUUGAUACACUAUUGGUUUACUAAAAGGCAAGGUCAUAUAUGCAAAAGAAAACAACAUCAGUAUUACUGGUAAAAAUUGAAUAUUUGUCUAUGUUAAUUACCAUUAAGGGGCGGUCGGGUAGCCUAGUGGUUAAAGUGUUCGCUCGUCACGCCGAAGAUCCGGGUUCGAUUCCCGACAUGGGUACAAUGUGUGAAGCCCAUUUCUGGUGUCCCCCGCCGUGAUAUUGCUGGGAUAUUGCUAAAAGCGGCGUAAAACCAUACUCACUCACUCACUAAUUACCAUUAACUAAGCAUUGACAAUGAUCAGAAAUAUUUGAAAUAGUGCAUUGCUUGUCCAACUGCGGUUGGCUGAUGUGAUUGAGUUAAAGAAUUUGAUUUGUUUCUGAAGGUUUCAAUUUGUGUUUCUAUUUAUCAAUUAGUGAACGUUCACAUGAUCAUGGAGGACUGAAGCCCACAGUUGAGUGUCUAACACUGUCAUUGUUUUAGAUUCUCAAGCAAUUUUACAUAUGCUGGUAAUCAUCAUAAAGAAAAUAUUGUACAACAGUAGAUGAAAUGCCAUUUGGUAAUAAAAAUACCACAAACUUGUUUUAUAAAAAUAUGUUGUUGCCUUUUUCAGCAUUUUGCCUGAGUGCACUUGUACAACAGAGAAAAAGUCAUCUUUAUCUUUGGUUAUUUCUUGAGAAUAGAAGCCGACAAUAUGAACUUUAGCUUGAACAGCUGGUACUACUGGACACACAGUGUGUAUUCAUAAUUAGACAAAAAAAACACACACAAGUAUAAGAUAAAACAACACACACACAAGCAUUAGAUAAAACAUGUACAAAAGUA
rnacentral:lncRNA from 1 species